AGCACCACAAGGGGUGAAGCCUGCGGUUCAAUUGGAGUCAACGCCGGGAAUCUUACCGGGGGCGACAGCAGAGUGAAGGUCAAGCUGAAGACUUUACCAGACAAGCUGAGAGGAGGUGCAUGGCCGUCGCCAGCUCGUGCCGUGAGGUGUCCUGUUAAGUCAGGUAACGAGCGAGAUCCCUACCUCUAGUUGCUACUCUUGUUCUCAGGAGCAAGGGGGCUAAUUAGAGGGACCGCCGCCGCUGAGGCGGAGGAAGGAGGGGGCUACGGCAGGUCAGUAUGCCCCGAAACCCUCGGGCCACACGCGGGCUGCAAUGGUAAGGACAAUGGGCUCCGAUCCCGAAAGGGGGAGGCAAUCCUCAAACCUUACCACAGUUAUGAUUGAGGGCUGAAACUCGCCCUCAUGAAUAUGGAAUCCCUAGUAACCGCGUGUCACUAUCGCGCGGUGAAUACGUCCCUGCUCCUUGCACACACCGCCCGUAAUCA
rnacentral:rRNA from 1 species